rnacentral:lncRNA from 1 species
UGUCAAUGGGGCAUUGAUGGGGCAGCUGGGUGGGGUCAAGGCAGGGGUUUAUAAAAUGGUUGCCAAGAUCCUGCGGAGAGUUCCCAUGCACCCUCCCCCAGCCUCCCCUGGUGUCGGCAUCGCGAUGCAAACCGUGAGACAUUUGUCAAAACUACGAGGCUCACAGUUGGGCCAACACCAGACUGUUAUUUCAGCAGCGCUUCCACGAUGGAUCGAGCCCAGGAUGCCGUGUCGUAUGUAGUGAGCUCACUUCCCAGCCUGGAAGCAUACCUUCCU